UACGAAGGGUGCUAGCGUUGUUCGGAAUCACUGGGCGUAAAGCGCGCGUAGGCGGUUUGGCAAGUCAGAGGUGAAAUGCCUGGGCUCAACCCAGGAACUGCCUUUGAAACUGCCAGACUGGAGUGUCGGAGGGGAUAGCGGAAUUGCUAAUGUAGAGGUGAAAUUCGUAGAUAUUAGCAGGAACACCGGUGGCGAAGGCGGCUAUCUGGACGACAACUGACGCUGAGGCGCGAAAGCGUGGGGAUCAAACAGG
rnacentral:rRNA from 1 species